CCACCCAAAAACCACUGCCUGAACACCAGGAAAAGAAGAUUGUAGUCGUAAAAAUUGUGGCUCUCAUGAUUUUAGAUUAUGGUCUCCACAGUCUUACAGCUUUUGCAAAUACCAAGCUUUUGUUCAAAAAAAAAGUUUCAUUUACCGAUACAGAACAAUACAACCAGAUGCCAUGUUGCUCUCUUGACUCAGUCUAACAGAAAAUUGACUUCUGCAGAAAAGGCGGUGGGUAAGGCUCCUCUUUGGACGUGAAUUCCCACUCCAGGACCUUCUUGUUGUCUGGGACGCUCUAUUUGCGGACAGUAUCACCCUGAAUUUAGUUGACUACAUUUUUGUAGCCAUGUUGUUAUAUAUUAGAGAUGCCUUGAUAUCAAGUAAUUACCAGACCUGUUUGGGACUUCUGAUGCAUUAUCCUCCCAUAGGAGAUGUUCACUCCCUUAUCCUAAGAGCACUUUUCCUUCGAGAUCCAAAG